rnacentral:rRNA from 1 species
AUUGAACGCUGGCGGCAGGCCUAACACAUGCAAGUCGAACGGUAACAGGAAGAAGCUUGCUUCUUUGCUGACGAGUGGCGGACGGGUGAGUAAUGUCUGGGAAACUGCCUGAUGGAGGGGGAUAACUACUGGAAACGGUAGCUAAUACCGCAUAACGUCGCAAGACCAAAAAGGGGAACCUUCGGGCCUCUUGCCAUCGGAUGUGCCCAGAUGGGAUUAGCUAGUAGGUGGGGUAACGGCUCACCUAGGCGACGAUCCCUAGCUGGUCUGAGAGGAUGACCAGCCACACUGGAACUGAGACACGGUCCAGACUCCUACGGGAGGCAGCAGUGGGGAAUAUUGCACAAUGGGCGCAAGCCUGAUGCAGCCAUGCCGCGUGUAUGAAGAAGGCCUUCGGGUUGUAAAGUACUUUCAGCGGGGAGGAAGGGAGUAAAGUUAAUACCUUUGCUCAUUGACGUUACCCGCAGAAGAAGCACCGGCUAACUCCGUG